UACGUAGGUGGCGAGCGUUAUCCGGAAUUAUUGGGCGUAAAGAGCGCGCAGGUGGUUGAUUAAGUCUGAUGUGAAAGCCCACGGCUCAACCGGGGAGGGUCAUUGGAAACUGGGGAACUUGAGUGCAGAAGAGGAGAGUGGAAUUCCAUGUGUAGCGGUGAAAUGCGUAGAUAUAUGGAGGAACACCAGUGGCGAAGGCGACUCUCUGGUCUGUAACUGACGCUGAGGCUCGAAAGCGUGGGGAGCAAACAGGAUUA
rnacentral:rRNA from 1 species